UGUCAACAACAAAUUCAGAGUGGCUUAAACUCUUCUGUUUGCAGUGGCGUUUGCCAGCCCAGCCAGUACUUUUGAGCCCAUGCUUUGAGGGUGUUAGGAUUGGCUUGACUAUCUCAGCCAGACAUCAUGGAUGCUUUUUGUACUCUAAAUAUAAGCUGCACUCUGCCUUUCUGCCAAGGCAGCUUCUAGCUGAUUCUCUUUCUUUGUUCCCAAAUCUCUUAACUUGCAUCAAAUACUCUUUCUCACCCAAUGUUGUUCCCUGCUCAGACAUCUGUUGCUUAAAGUUUGACUGGCACAUUCUAGAAAUCUUAUAGUCCUGGGUCUAGACAGAGGGCUCAGCAGUUAAGAGCAGGUAUUUCUUCUCCAGAGGCGUUUGGUUCCCAAUACCUACUUGGGGUGGCUCACAACCAUAUGUAACUCCAAUUGCAGGUGAUUCAGUGACCUCUUCUGGCUUCUGAGGGCACUGCACUCAUGUGCAUACAGUCCUCCUCCCAGUAUUAAAAAGAAAACCUUAACAACAACAAAAAAAGUAUUUAUAAAAAUAUAAAGGGCUGGGGCUGGAGAGAUGACUUGGUGGUUAAGAACACUUUCUGUCCUUCCAGAGAACCCAAGUUUGGUUCCUACCCACAUCAGGAGGCUCUUAAAUUUUUGUAUUUCCCACUCUAAGGCAUCUGAUUCCCUUUUCUGGCCUUUGAGGGUUUCCCACAUACAUGUGACAUUUAUUCACACAAAUACACAUAUAAACAUAAGUAAAAAUAACAAAAAUCCUUUAAAAAUCUGUUUAUAAUUAGGAUUCUUUUUAAUUUUUUAAAAUUAUGUAUAUUUUAUCAAAGCAUGUAUAUUGUCAUCUAAUGAGUUAGAUAAGAAAUGUCAAAGUCAGGAGUGUGGCCUUAUUGGGCACCAUAGUCACAAGAGUGGGGAAUGUUCACUCACAGGCCUGGGUAGUUUCCUGACUGCAUUGCUGAGCCUGCCGUUCAAGAUGAGGCUGUACCAUUAUGUGGAGACUUUCUAGACACCCCCAGAUACCAGUGCAGUUCAGGUUCAGCCCUUCUCCCACAGACUCUGAUUCUUGUAAUGUACAGUCUCUGGAUGUACAUUCUGAAGCAAGUUCUGUAGUACAUUUGUGGUUCUGUAACACAGACUACGUUUUGAGAGAAUCCGAUGGGGCAAGUUUUGGUCUCUAUGUCUCCUGCCUUUUAAGAAGGUUUUGCACCAGUGGAAUCCCUUGAUCAGUUUAGUCAACUGCUCAGAAUACAGUGUAAGGUCCUUGUAAGGAAGGAAGCUAGCUUGAGUGCCUUCUGGGUGACUUAAUUCUUUCACCAGGGAGGGUUCUUACCUUUUCAAGUGAAUUACUUUGUAUAGGCAAGUUCCCCCUCUUCAUUUUGUAUAUAUUUCUCACUUUUGUAAAAGGAAUUUAUUGAAGAUUCUUCAGGGCCAUCAUAUUUUUUAACUCUUUGGGGUCCUUCCCAGGUUUCUGAAAGCCCCUGUCUACCGACUGACUGCUCUUUGGAUUCUAGUUUCUUUCUUUCUUUCUUUUUUUUUUUUUUCCGGAGCUGGGGACCGAAUCCAGGGCCUUGUGCUUGCUAGGCAAGUGCUCUACCACUGAGCUAAAUCCCCAACGCCCGGAUUCUAGUUUCUUUUGAGGUGUCCUUUCCUUGCCAUUGCCUGCCACCAUUACCAUGUCGGCUUCUACUUGCCGUCCUCUCACUUUCUGUGGGCUCGUGAAGUCAUGUGACAACACAGUUUGUGUCAAGUAGCAGUGAACAGUAUCUGAUGAGGAUGUGAGAGGCCUUGCUCACAUUAAAAUGAAUGAACUUGCUGUCAUGCCCUGAGGAAUUGUUUCAGUGGCUUAACUGUCUUUGUAUUUCCUGCUUUCAGCCACAGUUCUCAGACUGUGACUUCAAGUGAGAUGCAGCUCGGGCUCAUGUCUUUUGAUGUAUAAACCCUUAUUUUCCCAGCUGUGUUUGUAUUUUCAUAUGUAUUCUCUUGAUAAUGUGAAGCCAAUAUGGAUUAAAAUCCAAAAAUCCAAAUGCAAAUGCUUUUUAUACAUAUACAACGUGUUUUAAAUUCAGUGUUACUGUGAAUUAGAGCUAUGAAAUGCCAUUCUGUAGUUACUCUGAAAUAAAGACAUUACAAUGGGU
rnacentral:lncRNA from 1 species